GCUGCAAAGGCACUUUAAGGCCUUAUGGUGGCAAGGCCAGUGUUCCAGCCAAGGAUGCUCAAGCUUUGCUUUGUUUAGCUCAAUGGCUUUCCCUGGAGACAGCAGCAUUAUGGGAAAGUCUGUUUAUGCGUCACAUAUGGCUGCAAGAGGAUGAAAAAGAGACCUGCUGGUUGCCUAAAGAGAAGGAAGGUACUCCAGAAGAUGCGGCCCUGUCGGUCCCCAGCUGUGCAUGUGAGUGGGUAAAGAUGGAACAGGUCGAAAGCAAGCUCUGAGCUUGCCUAGGAUCUGGCUGGCAAAGGGAAGGUGGCAUCCAAGGACCCCGGGAAGACAGAGUACCUUCUGAAUGCUCAGUUACCAGGGUGUGAGAGUGGCAGGGUGUGCUGUACUGUAUGGAGUGCUCUGCUUUGACCUCCUUGCACCAUGAAGUCUCCAUGUCUCCUGGCUCCCUAUCCUGUAACAGCUGUUACCCACUGGCACCACCUACAUUUUAAACCAGCUGGAGACAGAGUUCUACGUGAUAAGCCUGUUAUAUUUGCAGAGUAAGCAGGAACUCAUAAUGGCUUGGCCCCCUAACAACUCAGGGACCGGCCUCUGACCAGCCACAGCAGUGAGCACUGGCAAAGCAGGGGAAAAUAUAAUUAAACGAGCCUUUGUCGAAACUCCCUCUAAAUCAGCCUUUUAAAUGUGCUCAGUUUAAGAGUCCCAAAGUGCCAAUUCAAUUGCACUGGCCUCUAAGAGCCACAGAAACCCACAGGAUAGCUAUAGCCAAUUAGUCAAGCAAAAGGGGUGUGUGUGUGUGUGUGUGUGUGUGUGUGUGCGUGUUCACAGAAUUGACACACAUGCAGAAAAAGCCCCCUGGAGAAAGGGUACAGUACCCAACCCCCAGGAUAGCUAUAGCCAAUUAGUCAAGCAAAAGGGGUGUGUGUGUGUGUGUGUGUGUGUGUGUUCACAGAAUUGACACACAUGCAGAAAAAGCCCCCUGGAGAAAGGGUACAGUACCCCCCA
rnacentral:lncRNA from 1 species